rnacentral:rRNA from 1 species
AGUGAACGCUGGCGGUAGGCCUAACACAUGCAAGUCGAACGGCAGCACAGUAAGAGCUUGCUCUUACGGGUGGCGAGUGGCGGACGGGUGAGGAAUACAUCGGAAUCUACUUUUUCGUGGGGGAUAACGUAGGGAAACUUACGCUAAUACCGCAUACGACCUACGGGUGAAAGCAGGGGAUCUUCGGACCUUGCGCGAUUGAAUGAGCCGAUGUCGGAUUAGCUAGUUGGCGGGGUAAAGGCCCACCAAGGCGACGAUCCGUAGCUGGUCUGAGAGGAUGAUCAGCCACCCUGGAACUGAGACACGGUCCAGACUCCUACGGGAGGCAGCAGUGGGGAAUAUUGGACAAUGGGCGAAAGCCUGAUCCAGCCAUACCGCGUGGGUGAAGAAGGCCUUCGGGUUGUAAAGCCCUUUUGUUGGGAAAGAAAAGCAGCAGGUUAAUACCCCGCUGUUAUGACGGUACCCAAAGAAUAAGCACCGGCUAACUUCGUG